ACAACUUCAAACCCAUUUAUUGGUUUAUAUUAUAUUUGAGUAUGAUCUUCUCCUACAACAUAUUCAACAAGUCCUGCCCCUGCUUUUUCUCCAUGUCCAUCAGUUGCCAACUGAGAAACUCCUCCAAAGGCGAUUAUCAUCACCAAUAGCACAGCUGUUGAGGCCAAAAGAGGCCAAAAAUAGACAAGGAUUGCGAGUAACCUCGGGGCAGCAUAUAAAAACAUGGAAAGUGCCAGUGAAGCAAUAAUCGCUGUUGCAAAAUGAUUUCUGUAUUGUAAGAUCUUCUCUCUGAUCUCCAUGAGGACACACAGACAAACACACCCAGAGAGAGAGAGAGAGAGAGAGAGAGAGAGAGACCAGAGUUGUUUAUGUUGGAAAUAACCGGUUUCAUUGAUUGUUUUUAAAGAUGGGUUUCUUCUUCAACUGCUAAUUCAAGAUAUGAGGAGAUUCUUUUUGUUUUCUGUGUAAUUAUACUCCCAUAUUCGAUUAUAAAAGUACCCUCCUCUCUAUAUUCCAAUUCUCGUUACCUAUACUGCAUUUCUGCUGCAUAUGAACAUAAGUUGAGAAGGGCAAAGCAGUAACUACAAGAAACCCAAAUGGAAUUUAUCUGGUAUAUAUGCUUUCUCCACCACUUUUCAUUGUUGUCUUUUAAUAGAAGAUUAGGACUUGGGGGAGGUUCUUCUUUUUUAUUCUUACAUGUGGUUAUAUGUUUUAUGAACAUAACUAGCUAAUGGAAGAAGAAAAUGAGUGGUAAUAUUUUGCUUCCAUUUUAUUCUCCUUAUUGAUGCCAACUGAUUGAAGAAAGAGGAAUAAAUUUUUGGGAAGAUUUUCAGAUACCACAAAUUUUUUCUGUCCACUUGAUAUUUCCUGUCCUAAUUUUUCCUUUUUAAGGGGAUAAAGAUGGUUCUUUUUCUGGUCCACCAAGCCGGAACCUUGCUUUAUGGGCAGCCGGCCUAUGAUAAUAUUGAUAUGUGCCUUUCUGAUUCUGCUUCACUGGAAGGGAAAGGCCAACGAAAUCCCUCUCUUUGCGGUCAGUUCCUUAAAGGAGAUGAAUUCUAUCAGUAUCUCUUACAAUACCAAACUCUUCUUAUGUUAUUCCGCCAUAAAACCCAGUUGUAUUUAGUUGCUGUUGUAUUGUUGUGUAAUGACUUCGAUCAUUGUGUAUUAUUCGUGUUUCAUAGCACUAAAAGAGAAGCAUGAAAAGGGAAAUGGUGGAUCAUGAGGAGCAACAACUUGGAGGAGGAGAAGACCUCUCUCUUGUUCACCCUGACCCUGUUGUGUUAGAGCUCAACCGACUCCAGAACCUACUCAAAGAUUUGAAUAUGGAUGGGGAAAACAUCGGACGGGGAAAAUGUUACUCUUGCAAGUGAAGAAAAAAGUGAACCAAUUGCCUUUGUAAGCUCCUGCUUUUUCUUUGGUUCUACAUUUUAACGUACUUUCUUGAUACAAUGAUCAUGAUACAUGGAUUUUGGAUUGAAUUUAAUGCAGGCAAUGCAGGAAGAGAACAAAAUCCUUGAGAAGACCAAUCGCCAAAAGGUUUUAGAGGUUGAAGAGCUCACCCAAACCAUUCAGGAACUUGAGGAGGCCAUUCUUGCUGGUGGGACUGCAGCAAAUGUAAUUCGAGACUAUCGACGACAGAUUUCCGAGCAGCAAGUUGAAAAGAGGACAUUGGAG